GCAUCGAUAGUUCAAUAGCAGAGCGGUGGGGCGUUUACCCAUGCGGCCCGGGUUCGAUCCCCGGUCGAUGCA